rnacentral:rRNA from 1 species
GAAGUUGGAGUCGCUAGUAAUCGCAGAUCAGCAACGCUGCGGUGAAUACGUUCCCGGGCCUUGUACACACCGCCCGUCACGUCAUGAAAGUCGGUAACACCCGAAGCCGGUGGCCUAACCCCUUGUGGGAGGGAGCCGUCGAAGGUGGGAUCGGCGAUUGGGAUGAAGUCGUAACAAGGUAGCCGUACCGGAAGGUGCGGCUGGAUCACCUCCUUU